GUACAGAUGAUGAGCAUUGCAGUAUGAGGCGCAACAAUGAUACUGUAAACGCUUUCUGAUGUA
ensembl:snoRNA